UCAGUUUGUCUGAUAAAGAAGUUUAAUGGAUUAUGUUAUCCACGUAAUGAGCAGUAGCUUCGUGCUAAGUGAUUAUCAUAUGUUUGGUAAAUGCAUGACAUUCAUAAAUUCAUGCAUUAUUUAGGGAUAUCAGACUUGUCUGAUAAAGAAGGAUAUUGGACUUGUCCAAUAAAGAAGAAUAUCAUUGGUAAGUUCCUUGAUAAAGAAGAUGGUACCACAUGCAUUAGUCGUGUCUAGGUUGGCAUGACAUUGAAUGUUUGGCAUUAGUCGCAUUUGAGUAAAUGUGCAAUUAUGUGUUAUGUGUUACGUGANNNNNNNNNNUAUAGGUGCGUUUCUAUAUUCGUAUGUAUGUGAUUAUGUUUACUAACUCUCUACCUAUUUGUUAUGUGCUGGACCUUUGGGGGUUCAGGUAUUCAGGUCGAGGUCUCGACGAGCUUUAGCUG
rnacentral:lncRNA from 1 species